rnacentral:rRNA from 1 species
GAUGAACGCUGACAGAAUGCUUAACACAUGCAAGUCAACUUGAACUUCGGUUUGGGUGGCGGACGGGUGAGUAACGCGUACAGAACUUGCCUCACAGAUAGGGACAACAUUUGGAAACGAAUGCUAAUACCUGAUAUUAUGAUUAUAUGGCAUCGUAUAAUUAUGAAAGCUAUAUGCGCUGUGAGAGAGCUUUGCGUCCCAUUAGCUAGUUGGAGAGGUAACGGCUCACCAAGGCGAUGAUGGGUAGCCGGCCUGAGAGGGUGAUCGGCCACAAGGGGACUGAGACACGGCCCUUACUCCUACGGGAGGCAGCAGUGGGGAAUAUCGGACAAUGGACCAAGAGUCUGAUCCAGCAAUUCUGUGUGCACGAUGAAGUUUUUCGGAAUGUAAAGUGCUUUCAGUUGGGAAGAAAAAAAUGACGGUACCAACAGAAGAAGUGACGGCUAAAUACGUG